rnacentral:rRNA from 1 species
UACGUAGGGGGCUAGCGUUGUCCGGAAUCAUUGGGCGUAAAGCGCGCGUAGGCGGCCCAGUAAGUCCGUUGUAAAAGUCAAAGGCUCAACCUUUGAAAGCCGAUGGAUACUGCUGGGCUAGAGUCCGGAAGAGGCGAGUGGAAUUCCUGGUGUAGCGGUGGAAUGCGCAGAUAUCAGGAAGAACACCAACGGCGAAGGCAGCUCGCUGGGACGGUACUGACGCUGAGACGCGAAAGCGUGGGGAGCGAACAGG